rnacentral:rRNA from 1 species
CGGAGGAUCCAAGCGUUAUCCGGAUGCAUUGGGUUUAAAGGGUGCGUAGGCGGACUGAUAAGUCAGCGGUGAAAUCCCACGGCUCAACUGUGGAACUGCCGUUGAUACUGUUAGUCUUGAAUGCAGAUGAUGUGGGCGGAAUAUGACAUGUAGUGGUGAAAUACUUAGAUAUGUCAUAGAACACCGAUUGCGAAGGCAGCUCACAAAACUGUGAUUGACGCUGAUGCACGAAAGCGUGGGGAAUCAAACAGGAUUAGAUACCCUGGUAGUCCAGCCCUAAAGCUGAUUACUCGAUGUUGGCGAUACACCGUCCAGCGUCCAAGCGAAAGCGUUAAAGUAAUCCACUGGGGAUACGGCGCAAGGCUG